rnacentral:antisense_RNA from 1 species
AAACUCCCUGCUAGAGGGACUAGGAGAUUUGGGGCUGCGGCCGUUUCCUUCGGAGCACCCACGGGACUGUGUGCUGGGGUCCCUCCACCGGCUGUGUCCUUUAUUCUUCUUUCUCACCCAACGAUUUACCUGAACGGUUAUAAAGUGCACGUUAUUUCCCUAAGGUCCUUCUUACUGAUGUGUUGCUCUUCUUCAUGGCUCGUGAAAACUAUUAGAGUCAUCCAAGGUUUGGAGACAGAAAGGAGCACCCCCAAGUGAGGCAGAGCAGUCUCAGAAACAUAGGAAAAUGGUGGGAAGAGAGAUCAGCAACGUUAACUGGGUGUCAAGAAAACAUACCGAGAUUGAAGCCAUCCACUUCUGCAGGAACACCAAAAAGAAAGCUUACAAUCUGAAGGUGUCCGUUCCUACACUGGUCAGACCACUGUCCUUGGGGCAGCUGGGGUCUUUGGGACCCUCCACCGGGCUCGCCGGUCCGUCGGACUUUUGGCUGAGAUCCGUGUCAGACUCCUCCGAAUAGUCGUCUGUUGGCAUCGAGGGCUGAACCCCUGAGGUGCUGCAUGAACUUGAGGUAACCGUUGAAGAUGAGGAGAGAGGAGGAAAAGAAGGGGGCUUCGCUGCCGAAGCCCGGGAGACCACUUGCGGCCAAGACUUCCUGGAGGCGUGGGGGGAAGCGGAGGAGGGGGCGGCGGCCGACGGGGGAGGGGGGCUGUCGUUUGAGUGAGCGGCAGACUGCGAGGUAGAUGCGGUGCUAGGAUCGGGGAAGCAGGCAGAGUGAGGUAAUAAACUAGGGUGCUCUUUGGCGUUUCUUGCUGCUCUCGUGAUUGUUCUGUGUUUGUGCAAGGCCGACUCGAGAUGUUGACUCAGAGCUUCCUCCCCACAGAGCGCGCUCUCGCACGCCAGGCAGUGGUACGAGCCGCCGCCGCCGCCGCCACUGCCGCCGCCGCCACUGCCGCCGCCGCCGCCGCCGCCGGUGGGGACGUGAAGCACCAUCUCUUGCAGGUUCACCACAGACUGGCCGAAGAAGCAGAGGGACUUCAGGUGGCUCCUCGCUGCCUCCUCGUCGCCGAAGCCCGCCUGGCACUUGCGGCAGACCAACUUGUACUGCACCUUUGGAACAAUGAAGGGGUCGUAGAGGGAGUCCGCACUUUUGCUUUCUGCUUCUGGCUCUUCAGGGAGUUUCGGCAGGAGGGGGGACACCUCACGGGGAGUGUUUUUCUGUUCUUCUGGUUUGGGGGAUUCUUUGGCAGGGUCUUUGUCUGGGGAAGCAGCCCCCGGGGGGACUGGGGUUUGGCUUGCUUUGGGCUGCUGCUGCUGUAGUUGCCGCUGCUGCUGCUGCUGAAUUGCCUCCUGCAGACUCUGCUGGUAUUGCUGGUACUGCUGCAGUAGGGAGCCUGGGGACAGCCCCAUCAGGGCCUGCGACAGCGCAGGGCUGUAUGGGAACAGGCCUUCCAUGCCAUACAUAGGCUGCAGGUACCCGCUCUGCAGGGCGCCAGGGAUCUGGGGAGCAUAAUAAGGAGAAAAGCCUGGUACAAAGUAAGGAAGGAACUGGCUUGUGAGCAAUGCUGUGGGGUCCGAAGUCAACGCGGCCUGCAGGGCCUGCAGCUGUGCAGGGUCUACCGCAUACUCCAUGGUGGGCAGCGGGGCUGAGAUCGUGGCUGCAGUUGCCGUGGGGGCCUCUCCUUUCUCCUUCUUGGGGACAGGCAGGGGUUCCCCUUUCCCUUUGUGUGCCUUUUCCUUCUCCUUUACUUUCUCACUGUCUUUGUCCUUGCGUUGCUGCUGCUGUUGCAGUGGGAGCUGUGGUGUGGGUGGCGGCUGGGCUGCUGGCGGCGGGGGAGGCUGCUGCACCUGUGGCUGCUGCUGCUGCUGCUGCUGGGGGGGUUGCUGAGGGCCCAUGGCCAUGGUGGCUUGUGCUGGGGUUGGGGAGCUCAGCGACGCUGAGGACGGUUUAUUUGGUAAUCCAGAAGUGGGGAGGCCAGGGGAAGGAACAGUUGUGCUGGGCAGACCCAUCAAGUUCGGCUUAGGAGACGUUAAAGCUGAAAGGAAUGGAGACAGAAAUCACCGGUCAGUCUGGGCAGGGGUAGGGCUGAAGCUCAAGACGUUUUACCAGUGUCACUGGCACACAGUUUGAGAUGUCAAGGCUUGAAGGAUCCUCUCAAAACGAACAUUUCCAACAGAAGUAUCCCACCAGGCUCAGAGCUGGACAACCUUGUAUUCUAAUGAGGACUCAGUCCUAGGUCAGCUCCCAUAUUUCCCCUUUCAGCCAAACAACUUCCAGAAGUAUCCCACCAGGCUCAGGGCUGGACAACCUUGUAUUCUAAUGAAGAUUCAGUCCUGGGUUAGCUCCCAUACUUCCCCUUCCAGCCAAACAACUUCCAACACCUUCCUGCCCAAUGUGCCACACCCGCUAGUUCACAUUUUCUUUGCCAAGUACUCCCAGCUACCAUUCACUCUGCCCAACUGCAAUUAGUCUAGAGGCCCCAAAGCUAGCUGUUUCUAGCUGGGGCCCAUUUGCACCAAAGGCCUUCAUCACAAAAAUAGUAUGGCCACGAGGUCCCCAGAGAAGUUAUCUGGAGGAGAGCGGCAACAGGAGAAGAGAGAACAAAGGCAAGAAAGCUAGCACGGCCACAUGAACAAAAACAAAACAGGCUCUACAUGUGUUCCUCCUCUCUGACCUCUGUUGCUGCAGUUGACUGGAUGCUUUCGGAGGGUAGAGAGAAGAAGAUGAAUAGGAAAGUGUGGAGGAAGGGCCUGGGAAGAAAUAAGAACAAUCCAUUCAGGGAAAAUUGCUUCCAUGCCUUGGUCCAGCUGACCUGCUUCAACAAGUCUACUCAACAGUAUAACCGCCUAGGAAUAGGAAUCUGGAAUCCGCUGGAGAAACGACCAUCUUCUUUUCCUGCCCCUGUUUGAAUGAUACACAGGAGGGACAGUGGGACUGUAGAUGGUUGAGAAACAACCGCAGGAAAAGGAGAAAAGCCAUGUCAGAAGUGGAAUAGCCCAAGAUACUGACACCAAUUCCCAAGACAUCACAACCUACCCGAAGCACCACUGCCUAUGGAUAGCAAAGGUCUGACCAUAUCACCAGGCCCUCAUGGACUAGAAUCCCAUCCUUGAUCAUACCCCUAAUCUACCACCACUCCCUGCAAUGCCUUCACCAACCCGAGAGCCUAAUACCCUCCCUGACCCAUAGCUAUCUCCUGGUUUGAGUCACCAGGUCCAAGGUUAUGCAAGAGGGUGUUGCUACGGAUGGUACUCCAAGCUUCAGGUGUGUUGAGACUAGCAAGAUAGUAGGUAAGGACAGCAUGGGGGUGGGGUGCAGUGUGUGCUGGAUGAUGAAAAGCUGAGAAAACAAAGAGGAGGAUCCCACAGGCAACAGCUCUCAGAACACCUCUAUAUUCACCAUAUCCAAGAAACUUGAUGGUAUAUACAUCUCUUCAGAGGACACCAAAAUGCAAAAUCAAAAUCUUACUUCAUCUGGACCUCACCUGCUGGAAAGCUGGGGAAGGAGUUCCAUAACGUGACACUGAGGAAAAAAAAGCAAGAAAAAGCACUCUGAAGCCCAGACUUGGGGGAAGACUGCAGAUUUCUGGCUAUCAUGGUAGUGUUCACCAUCAAAACCCUCAGAUUUCAGACGAAAAGAACAAGACUGCUUCAGAUUGCCAAUCCCAGACAAACAGCUGUUAAUACUGGAUAGCCAAGGAGAAAGGUUCCUUCAGCAUCUCAUCAUGCAGUGUCCUCAGUGCACAUAAGACACCAGAGAAGAUAUGUGUGACUCUACUCAGAAAAGCUUAGUAAAGACUUGUUGGUUAAACUGGCACAAACAAGACAGAGUAGAUUAUGAGUUCUAAACCUGGGACAUGGCUCUGUCUCCACUAGGCAAUGGGUCUGCUCUCAGUGGGGCAAGGAAGGAAUAUUUAGAGAUUUCCCCAUCCCCAUGGCUCCAGACUUCUAGGAGAAAGAUUCAGGUCAAAAAGCCUUAAACUGUGUGUCUUCAACUGAUGGUCUACAUAAGAGGUUCAAAUUUUAAGAAACGUUUACGAAUCUCUACUAUUUACCAAGCCUUGCACUAGCCAUGCUAGACACAGUAGCUCAACACACUCACAACUCUGUGACAUCCUUUUUCUGAUCUGUAAGAUCAGAAUCAGGCAAGGUACUUCAUCCCCCCUAGACUUACUCCUACAACUCUGGAGUCACACUGACCCUGUGGGAUUAUGGUCACACACAUCAGACGUGUGACCCUGGGACUUUCGGUUGAACUCUUGGAACUUCAGCUUUCCAUAACAGAUGGUUAUGAGGAUUAAAUGAAAGACCACAUUGAUAGAAAAAGCUUAGCAUUGGGCCUGACAUAUAAUAGAUGUUUAAUAAACACAAGUUUGUUCCUUCCCUCCCAUUCCAGAUCCAGUGUUUUUGAGAACUAUGUUACGGUCAGGUGAUGAUAACUGGGGCAUGUCUGCUGCCCUGAAUAAAUAAGAGCUUAUCUUUCUAUCUCGAGUCCACUCUAAGUGGUCAGAACUUGAGUAGCACUAAACAUAUACCUGUUGACUGACUGGCUCAUAUUGGGUGUUGUGGAAGGAGCACAUAGCACCUGGGAGCCCAGAGGCCUGGAUGGGAGCUCUGGCUCCUACCCUAGCUUGUUGAAUGGUCUUGACCUCUCUGGCCCUCAGAUUUCUCAUCUGUAAAACAAGCGGAAUAAAUCAUACAUUCUGAUUCUA